UGAGGAAUAUUGGACAAUGGGUGCAAGCCUGAUCCAGCCAUCCCGCGUGCAGGAUGACGGCCCUAUGGGUUGUAAACUGCUUUUAUCUAGGAAUAAACCUACUUACGUGUAAGUAGUUGAAGGUACUAGAAGAAUAAGCACCGGCUAACUCCGUGUCAG
rnacentral:rRNA from 1 species